GUAGCUCAGCGGUAGAGUGCAUGCUUUGCAAGCAUGAGGCCCUGGGUUCGAUUCCUCAGC
rfam:Dipodomys ordii contig_27343, whole genome shotgun sequence.